AUGGGCGAAAGCCUGAACGGAGCACGCCGCGUGAGUGAUGAAGGUCUUCGGAUCGUAAAACUCUGUUAUUAGGGAAGAACAAACGUGUAAGUAACUGUGCACGUCUUGACGGUACCUAAUCAGAAAGCCACGGCUAACUACGUGCCAGCAGCCGCGGUAAUACGUAGGUGGCAAGCGUUAUCCGGAAUUAUUGGGCGUAAAGCGCGCGUAGGCGGUUUUUUAAGUCUGAUGUGAAAGCCCACGGCUCAACCGUGGAGGGUCAUUGGAAACUGGAAAACUUGAGUGCAGAAGAGGAAAGUGGAAUUCCAUGUGUAGCGGUGAAAUGCGCAGAGAUAUGGAGGAACACCAGUGGCGAAGGCGACUUUCUGGUCUGUAACUGACGCUGAUGUGCGAAAGCGUGGGGAUCAAACAGGAUUAGAUACCCUGGUAGUCCACGCCGUAAACGAUGAGUGCUAAGUGUUAGGGGGUUUCCGCCCCUUAGUGCUGCAGCUAACGCAUUAAGCACUCCGCCUGGGGAGUACGACCGCAAGGUUGAAACUCAAAGGAAUUGACGG
rnacentral:rRNA from 1 species